GUGGGGAAUUUUGGACAAUGGGCGCAAGCCUGAUCCAGCAAUGCCGCGUGCAGGAAGAAGGCCUUCGGGUUGUAAACUGCUUUUGUACGGAACGAAACGGUCCGGGUUAAUACCCUGGGCUAAUGACGGUACCGUAAGAAUAAGCACCGGCUAACUACGUGCCAGCAGCCGCGGUAAUACGUAGGGUGCAAGCGUUAAUCGGAAUUACUGGGCGUAAAGCGUGCGCAGGCGGUUUUGUAAGACAGGCGUGAAAUCCCCGGGCUCAACCUGGGAAUUGCGCUUGUGACUGCAAGGCUGGAGUGCGGCAGAGGGGGAUGGAAUUCCGCGUGUAGCAGUGAAAUGCGUAGAUAUGCGGAGGAACACCGAUGGCGAAGGCAAUCCCCUGGGCCUGCACUGACGCUCAUGCAUGAAAGCGUGGGGAGCAAACAGGAUUAGAAACCCUAGUAGUCC
rnacentral:rRNA from 1 species